CAUAAAUAAAGAACUGAUGAUGAGAUAGUUUCAGAGAUACAAUAUUAUGUAAUUAUUUUCCUAGCAUUUCAUGAAAAUAAGUUUUUUUUCAGUGUUUGAAAAAACAAACAUUUUAGUAAAUACCAUUCCAAGAACAGUCCAAAUAUACAAUGACUGAUGUUAAUUGACAUGUGGAUAAAUUCAGCAAGUAAAAAAUCAUGGAGAUUUGGGAAGGGAAUCACACAUGUUUCACCAUUUAACUAAACAGAAAAUUAAUUGAGAUGGAUAGUUCUUCCAAUUCACCCAUGGUAAGUAGGAUAAUAAGUAAAACAGCCUUCAGUAAAGUCCUCUCUAAGAACCCUAACCAUACCAAACCACUACAGAAUGUUGCAGCGGUGCCAUGGCUAUGGUGUCAGUCGUACAGACUGUUGUAAACAUUCUUAUGUUAUCUAGUAAUUGUAUAACUGUAUUUACACCCACAGAUCUUAUAUGUUUGUUAGUCUUCACCCGCAUAGCUAUCCUGACAGAAUUUCCCACCAAGAGGGGCCGAGACCCAGGGGCGUUUUAGCCGCGAGGCAAACAAGGCAUUUGCCUUGGGCGGCAUUUUUCAGGGGGCGGCUAACAGACAUGCUGGGCUGGGCA